rnacentral:rRNA from 1 species
UGAGAGACCGGCGCACGGGUGCGUAACGCGUAUGCAAUCUGCCUUUUACAGAGGGAUAGCCCAGAGAAAUUUGGAUUAAUACCUCAUAGUAUUACACAAUGGCAUCAUUGAGUAAUUAAAGUCACAACGGUAAAAGAUGAGCAUGCGUCCCAUUAGCUAGUUGGUAAGGUAACGGCUUACCAAGGCUACGAUGGGUAGGGGUCCUGAGAGGGAGAUCCCCCACACUGGUACUGAGACACGGACCAGACUCCUACGGGAGGCAGCAGUGAGGAAUAUUGGUCAAUGGGCGCAAGCCUGAACCAGCCAUGCCGCGUGCAGGAUGACGGUCCUAUGGAUUGUAAACUGCUUUUGUACGGGAAGAAACAGCGAUUCGUGAAUCGCCUUGACGGUACCGUAAGAAUAAGGAUCGGCUAACUCCGUGCCAGCAGCCGCGGUAAUACGGAGGAUCCCAGCGUUAUCCGGAAUCAUUGGGUUUAAAGGGUCCGU